AUGUUUUUUGACAUUAGUGUAGUGUCAAAAAACGUCUUACAUUAUGAAACAGAGGGAGUAGUUCUUAAGAGAUGUAAAAUGUUUUUUGACAUUAGUGUAGUGUCAAAAAAUGUCUUACAUUAUGAAACAGAGGGAGUAGUUCUUAAGAGAUGUAAAAUGUUUUUUGACAUUAGUGUAGUGUCAAAAAACGUCUUACAUUAUGGAACAGAGGGAGUAGUUCUUAAGAGAUGUAAAAUAUUUUUUGACAUUAGUGUAGUGUCAAAAAACGUCUUACAUUAUGGUACAGAGGGAGUAGUUCUUAAGAGAUGUGUAGAGUACGUCCCAUAA
rnacentral:rRNA from 1 species